AGGGGACACCGAGUGCCAGCAUCAUAUGCUGGCUGUCCGGAUGUGUAAAAUACAUCCGUUAGCAAGGGCCGGGCAAGACCGGUGCCAGCCGCCGCGGUAACACCGGCGGCCCGAGUGGUGAUCGUGAUUAUUGGGUCUAAAGGGUCCGUAGCCGGUUUGGUCAGUCCUCCGGGAAAUCUGAUAGCUCAACUAUUAGGCUUUCGGGGGAUACUGCCAGACUUGGAACCGGGAGAGGUAAGAGGUACUACAGGGGUAGGAGUGAAAUCUUGUAAUCCCUGUGGGACCACCUGUGGCGAAGGCGUCUUACCAGAACGGGUUCGACGGUGAGGGACGAAAGCUGGGGGCACGAACCGGAUUAGAUACCCGGGUAGUCCCAGCCGUAAACGAUGCUCGCUACGUAAACGAUGUUCGCUAAAGCUUGGAAUUCGCCCGGGUAC
rnacentral:rRNA from 1 species